rnacentral:rRNA from 1 species
UACGUAGGUGACAAGCGUUGUCCGGAUUUACUGGGCGUAAAGAGCGCGCAGGCGGUCGAUCAAGUCGCGUGUGAAAGCCCCCGGCUCAACUGGGGAGGGUCACGCGAUACUGAUCGACUCGAAGGCAGGAGAGGGAAGUGGAAUUCCCGGUGUAGUGGUGAAAUGCGUAGAUAUCGGGAGGAACACCAGUGGCGAAGGCGACUUCCUGGCCUGUUCUUGACGCUGAGGCGCGAAAGCUAGGGGAGCAAACGGG